rnacentral:rRNA from 1 species
GACGAACGCUGGCGGCGUGCUUAACACAUGCAAGUCGAACGGAAAGGCCCUGCUUUUGUGGGGUGCUCGAGUGGCGAACGGGUGAGUAACACGUGAGUAACCUGCCCUUGACUUUGGGAUAACUUCAGGAAACUGGGGCUAAUACCGGAUAGGAGCUCCUGCUGCAUGGUGGGGGUUGGAAAGUUUCGGCGGUUGGGGAUGGACUCGCGGCUUAUCAGCUUGUUGGUGGGGUAGUGGCUUACCAAGGCUUUGACGGGUAGCCGGCCUGAGAGGGUGACCGGCCACAUUGGGACUGAGAUACGGCCCAGACUCCUACGGGAGGCAGCAGUGGGGAAUAUUGCACGAUGGGCGGAAGCCUGAUGCAGCAACGCCGCGUGCGGGAUGACGGCCUUCGGGUUGUAAACCGCUUUCGCCUGUGACGAAGCGUGAGUGACGGUAAUGGGUAAGGAAGCACCGGCUAACUACGUG